GCUUGACUGGCAUUAUCGUUCAACCCACCCUGAAGCCGCUCGCUGUCCGUCAAAAGUAUUCCAAUCAAAACACUCAAUUACAGUUGGUUUAGCGUAGCGUGAGUGCGGACUUAUGGAUGGUGGUGCUCCGGGAGCCGUGGUUGACGCCGUGUGAGGCCUACCGCUGGUGUUUGUAGCCGGGCCGCCCGUGAAAAGGUGCUUCCGAGCGAUGGACGAGCAACAAAGAAUGAUGCACCCAGUAUCACAACAUCCCAUCGUGAGCAUGGCGGGCCAUGUCGUGCCCCAGCAUGGUUACGGAAUGCCUCCGCAAUCGCACGGUGUCGACCCGACGGGCCAACAGGCCGCACCCGACCAGGAGCCGAGGAAGCACGACAUUUCGGAAAUUCUCCAACAGAUCAUGAACAUCACCGACCAGAGCUUGGACGAAGCGCAAGCUAGGAAACACACGCUCAACUGCCACCGAAUGAAGCCCGCUCUCUUCAGCGUCCUCUGCGAAAUCAAAGAGAAAACAGUGCUGAGCUUACGGAACACGCAAGAGGAAGAGCCCCCCGACCCGCAGCUGAUGCGGCUGGACAACAUGCUGAUCGCCGAGGGCGUGGCGGGACCCGAGAAGGGCGGCGGCGCCGGCGCGGCCGCCAAUGCCUCAGCCGCCGCCUCGGCUGGCGGACAGCCCGAAAACGCCAUCGAGCACUCCGACUACCGGGCCAAACUGGCGCAGAUCCGCCAGAUCUACCACCAGGAGCUCGAGAAAUACGAGCAGGCGUGCAACGAGUUCACGACGCACGUGAUGAACCUGCUGCGCGAGCAGAGUCGGACGCGUCCCAUCACGCCGAAGGAGAUCGAGCGCAUGGUCCAGAUCAUCCACAAGAAGUUCAACUCCAUCCAGGUGCAGCUCAAGCAGAGCACCUGCGAAGCCGUCAUGAUCCUCCGCUCCAGGUUCCUCGACGCCAGGCGGAAGAGGCGGAACUUCAGCAAGCAGGCGACGGAGAUCCUGAACGAGUACUUCUACUCGCACCUUAGCAACCCGUACCCGUCGGAGGAAGCCAAGGAGGAACUCGCAAGGAAGUGCGGCAUCACUGUCUCUCAGGUGUCGAAUUGGUUCGGCAACAAGCGGAUACGAUACAAGAAGAACAUAGGGAAAGCGCAAGAAGAGGCCAAUCUCUACGCAGCAAAAAAGGCAUUCCCGAAAAAGAAAACAGACAGACAUACGGCCGGCGCGUCAGCCUACAGCAUGGUGCCGACGACGCAGGGUCAGCAGGGUCCUAUGAUAAGCCCACCGCCUCCGGGCGCGCCGCAGGACUCAAUGUACAACAUGAGUAUGAACGGCGGAGACUCCUACCAGAACGCCAUGGGCGCCAACGUGCAAUCGCAGCUCUGCAAUUUGGAGACGUGGGCCUGAGGCAGCGGCGGCGGCGAUCGUUGAUGAUGGCUCGCGGGAUGAAGCUCGCCUCUGCUCUUUGGCAGCGCCAGUGUCGCGUCGUCGUCGCCUGCCGACCUAACCGCCGGCUUUUUGUAAAGACAGAAAGACACGUUACGCGGGAAGUCGCCCCCCUCCCUCCCAUCCCCACCUUGCCUCCGUUUCCUUCUUGCCCCCUUUCUUUUUUCUCCCUCGCCUCUGCGUCGGCCCAGGAAAAGAAUGCAAAAGAAAGGGGGAAGCGAAGGAAACCACCAAAUGCAAAUACGGACACCGGUGUGCACGCGUGCGUGUGUUUGUUCUCUGCGUGUCUCUGUGUGCGUGCGUGCUCGCGCAACUCUGCCACGUUUCGGCGAAACGAAGACAGAGUGGGGAGAAGACGACGGGACAUCGUCGCAUCGGCGCUCCCUGGAAGCAAAAAUCGAGGAGGAGGCGCUGGCUCUGAACGUGGCGCUGUUCCCUUCUGUGAAGAAAAUGGCGGAGCGUGCGUGGCCCGCGUCGACCUGCCGGCUAGUUCUGCGCGCCGGACCGACGCGAGACCACCGUACCCGAGGAGGUCCCCACCCACAUCAUCCCCGUGCGACGCGACGACCACCGCCGCUGCUGCUGCUGACCCUGCGUGCUGCCGCAGCUCGACCCCCGAGUGGGGAAGAAGAAAAUCCGCUUCUGCGUCUUUCGCGUUCCUCUUCACCGCCAUCCAAGAAAACGAGGGAGAGAGAGAAACCCCGACGACUGCACCGACCACAGUCGGACGGGAACGACGCGUGUCGCCUCUCCCGGCACGCGCCACCUACCGCGUGCUCGCGUGUGCAACUGCUGCAUGACACGGUGUUGCGACGCCAACCGCGGCUCCGUUGCCAGCGGUUCUGUACCUGCCCGCCGGCAGGCCUUCCAUCCCAUCCGAACUUGCAAAGACUGUGCUUAUUAUUAUUACUUUAUUUCUCCGAAGAGCGAGCCCCCUUCUCAUCGUUGUGCACGCCACUACCUGUCGUGUCGGUUACGGCGUUAUUGAACUGCUCGUCGUAGUGACUGACGCCAGAGCCACAGGAGCUGGAAACGCUGUACGACUUGGCCGCAUUGGGCUGCGUUUGUCCGUGAGCCUCCCUGUACACCGUUAGCAUCGUUGCCGGGUUCCGAUCGUGUUGCCUUGUGACGUCAUACUAGCACCAAGUGCGCAGCCCCUGUCCCAUUUCGGCGGCAGUUUUUGUCGGUGUCAAGCGGAGGCGCUCUUCACCCUAGCUCCGUGAUUUCACCCGACCGACUGCAGCUGGUUGCUGCUCCCGGAGUUUACUGUUAGCUUGACGAAGCUGGAGAAAAUCCCUUUUCUUUAUCUUUUAAAGCAGAGAUGGUUUCUACUUAGGCUUCCUGCUGAUUUGCAUCCAAACUUAAUAAUGACGAUUACGUUGUCGCUAGCACAGACAUAAAUUGCCGUGAUAGUUUAGCUUCGCUCUCCGGAAUUACUUGGAGUUGACGGGAAAAGUUCACGUGCGUUGAUUCUGAAAUCAGAUAGUCCUUUUUUUUUUGCCCCACUUGAACCUGUUGCAGGCGUCUCGACUGAAGCGUCCCUUAUUAAAACAAACAACGACACAUCGUGAGGCGUCCACUGCAGUCAGAUUUUCCCAUUAUUGCUUAAAAAAAAAAGUUAACGCGGCAAAACUGAUCGAACUCCUUCCAACCUAAAAUGAACGCGCUUGUUCUGGUAUCCUCGGUUUGCAACUCCUGCGAACCUGAUUCUUCGCCCGAAACUAGGCAAUGUUGCAUUAGCGACAGGUUCAACCACUGCUGCUCGUGCAGUGUGCUCACAUCAAAAAACAAUACUUCAACGUUCAGUGUACCGCCUGCAAUUUCUACGGGAAUUUGUCAGCUUCUGGUGGAGAACAUUCCUGCGGUCACCUAAGCUGUCGCCGAACUGGGACGCCUCAAAAGUAAAUGAAGGCAACGUAAUGAACGCGAGGCUCAAACCGGGAUGCGGUGAACGACGCAUGGGCACUCACGGACACACGUGUUCUUUGCCUUUCUUUUUUUUCUGUAUUUUUUUUUUUUUCAUACUUCUGAAUUGCUUGCCUGUGUUUGUCACUUGGGAACGAAUGUUGCGACUGCUGCGAAGCCCAUCACCACUACGUCUCGGACGACUGUCUCAAUGUGUAAGAUAAGAAGAUGAGAGAAUCUCCCGAUUUUCAGCCCUCUAACCCUUCGCUAACCCGGCCCUUCGCCAUAGUUAUGUGGACAUCGCUUCUUUCACUCGCCGGCGUUUAUUGCCGGCCUCGUUGGUGCUUGCCGGGCCGACAGUGUCAUGUAUGUGUGUGGUGUCGACAGUGCUCACGGUUCUCUUCUGAGUUAUCGGUGCGGAAACUUCUCGGGCCUGAAGAAGGAACUGCGCUUAUUAUCUCCCUGUUCUAAUGUUCCAACCCGUGCUGGCUACGCCGCUUAUUCUACCAAACGGGUUUGGGCGCUAUGGCGGGCGCUUUCGAAAUUCUGGGCACGUCAACCUGCCAAGAAUGUUCCUGAUAAAUGCACAGGAGCUAAAAAACAAGGUUGAGCAGAAUAUAUAUAAUUUACAAACCGGCGUCUCUAGAAGUGGGCCGCUAUUGUUUUGCGGCGUUCAGCUGUAAAUUGAAUGAAAAUGGCAAGCUCUUCAAUGCGUGCGUGCGCAGCUAUUCCUCGAUUCUACCCGAGAUGUUUGCCGUUCCUUUUUGCGUUGACCUCUGUUGAUCGCGAGUGUCCUCGAGUGUCGACACGAUUUUGUUACCAUUUUAGAUAUGAUCUGUUUCAUAGUGCUCACUUUAGCCACUUCCGCUGGAUGUUGCUCCUUCAGAGAAGCACUGCUGUGCGCUGCAGCUGCGGCAGAUUUAUUUCGUGCGAACGCGAAACUGCGCCGCCGACAUCGGCCACCGACUAACCUUGCGGGAGGCAGAUAGCGCGUCGCAAAGGUGCCGCUUCCUUUUGCCUUGCGGCGAAAGCUAGAGCUAAUUACGCUUCUCCGUUUCGGCGUAGGAUUUUAACGCUGACACUUGAAUGGUUUCUUGCUUUCAAGGACGCGUGAUUAAAAUUGGUGGCAAAGCUGCUAGUUAACCCAAGUCUCUCUCUCUCUCUCUGCCCUCUCGCAUUCGACAGUUCGCCGCUUGGUGGCCUUGGCAACUGCAAGGCCGGCAGUGGCAUUUUGAAGAUCUGCUCGCCGCGAUGCCGAUCAGCACAUUUUUUAUUUUUUUUUUUUUCUUAAAUAAGGUUGUAUGACCUGCUCGUACCGUAAUGUGGCCGUCGCAUGUUAUGUUACCCCUCCUGGUCGACCAGGUUUCGUCAGCGAAAGCGUGGAAUACAGAAUUCGUUGAAGGCGUAUAGCGAUUUGGCCAAAUAUUUCAACCGAUGUCGUCAAAGGUUACAUUGCGACAUAUCGACACAAGUAUCGACAUAUGUGACGUAGUGACACAUGUCGCGUGUGCGAUUCCUAUCCGCGGCGGAAGCAUUCCAGUUAAAGCAGAAUGGAGCAACGUCCGUAUAAUGUUCAGUGCUUUCUGAGAAUUAAUUGGGAGCCGUCAACUACGGAGUCCCGCAGUGUCCAGAUCAGAAGAAUAGUUCAAAAGGUGAUUCGAGGGAAACUUGAAGAUGAAUAGUGCUGAAUGGUUCACUAUGGAAGCUUCAGCUGCGAAGCUUCGUAGUACACGCAGAGACCACCAGGUGCGUUACAUAAGCCCUUCGAUGGAUUGAUGACAGCUGAGUGAACGAAAGCAUGUUAGCGCGGAUAAGCGUUCUGUAGCUGAGGCGGUAAUGUGAAAAAUCUUCGCUUAACUUCACUCGCUACUUCCCCGUAGCCACCUGCGUGCUCACCGACUUCAAGGACAACGGCGUUCUGAACCUAUAGGUCAUUAACUUUCCGUUAUGCUGUGUGCUUUACCAAAAUUAUAUUGAUUCGUCCUGCGCUGUAGGGGAAAUUAAGAAACGCGUAUAGUGCGGGCCAAAAUGAAGCCUCUUUUGGGCACGAAGCAGUAUGAAAAAGAUGGACAGCUAGACCAGUGUGCGUGUGUUACGGCACGUCCGUAAUACCAGCGCCGCAGUUGAGUGAGGCAUCAGCAGCGCUGAUUAUGAUAGGGCUCAUUAUCUCUCGGCAGCGGCCCCCCCCCCCCCCCCCCACCCAACUGAAUGGCUCGGUCGGCGCGCAAGCUUUCUGAUUAAUUCCGACGAAGAACUCGGCGCUUGUUUUUCUCCCCAGUAGUCCUUCCCCCGAGCUUCUCUUACGCCAGUGGACGGGUGAGGAGUUUCUCUCGUGCUCGACCCAGUUACCGUCUCCUCUUUCCUCAAGAAUCUUUCCCCGGCUCAGUCCCACGCACAUUCUCCGGCGCUGUGUUGCUCGUGCUUCCCAGGCGGCCUGCUUGUUCCUCGGCUCGCCAGGCGCGCGCAGAGAGCCUCGGGUUCUCUUUCUUUUUCAUUUUUUUUUUCGGACUUCUGCGCUUUCGGGCCAUGGGACGCCGCUGGUGGGAAGAAAAGUUUUCGGGAGGCGGCAGCCGUGAUCGUUGCCUCUCUUCUGGCUGCGUUCGCUCCGGGCAGUCGUGCGGAGGCGGGGGAGUGCGGACUAGUAACAAGCAGCGACAUAGGCACGUUCUCUCCGGGCUCCCGUAGCAGACGCGAAGAGAAAGUAAAAUGAAGGCUAUCUCAUUUUCUUGGGUGUCUCAGAUGUGCUGCUUGGGCAACGGUUAGAAAACUAGUGCUCGUGCUGAGAUAGCGAAGGGUGGAGGGGGGGAGGAAGCGAUAGAAAGUGGGCUUUUUCGACCGCCCAUUGGACAAGGCGGUUUCGUCCCCUCCUCGGCUGGGCCAAUGAGCGAUUCGAGACACGCCCACUUUCUUGCGGCGUUCUCUCCCCCGCCUCGGUUCUCCCAUCUGUGGGUGAGCGUCUUUCGGAUGCUCCGGGGCUCCGUUUCAUAGCGCUGGAGCGCUCGCACUCCGCCGCGAACACGGUGGGCGAGAGGCGACUGUCUGCGGCGCAUGCGCACUCCCGAGUGCGGUGCGAGCGCGCUGCGGCCCGAGUCUCGACCGGGGCCCUGGCGGGCUCGGACGCCGACGGAACCCAGGUUCGUCUCCGCGACCGGGAGCCUCGCUGCUUCCCCCUGUAUGGCACCACGCUCCGGGACAAUUUUUUUUUUUUUUUUCGGAUUGACCAAUGCAUCCAUCCUUUUAGUUCUUGGGCAGAACCUGUUGUGUAUUUUACGUUUUCUCGCUUGACAUCUCCCGGUAGGCAAAGGAGGGGGGGAUAGCUGAAUUCUGAUAAUCUGCGUGCGGCAGCAUCUCGGCGCUGUCAAAUUGAUCCCCAAUAAGGUCAAAACAAAGGCUUGGCUUUAUUCUGACCAUGUAAAAUCAAUAAAGUGAUGUGAAAUCGUUCUGGCAUUCUUCUGCUUUGAACACUGGGGGAAUCCGCGCAAUGUUAUCCGCCCAAGGUUCGUGUUAGCUGUGGAUGUCGCGUAGCUGCGAAUCGUUUUGUUACGGUCACUGCUUGCCCGGCACCAAGUGACCAGCGAGUUGUUUCCCAUUACUUCGUGGCGUGUUCGUAACCAGGCUUGUGAGCCUCUACCACAUAACGUUAGUUUUGACGGGGUGUUGAGCGCUAGACUGAAUUGAUCGUGCUUAUCUCCUGCGCCGGUUUGCGAAAGGUGUAGACGGUUGGCAUAUAAACGGUCCAAUCUGGCGCAAAGGAAUCCGGCGAAAUUUCCUAGCGGCGGUUUUAGGACAGCUAUCAAAGAACCGCGUCGGCGCUCGUGCCGGAGAAAUGAAUUCGCAUUUUUCUUUUUCCUACCGCUGCGGAUACUCUUAGCCGAUUCCCGUUCGCUUUUCUUUUGUCCGGAUUAGUUCGAUUGGGUGUGCAUACGUACACGGCCCGAGGCGUAUUGCUGCCAUCGAUUUCAAGUGCGCCGCGCGGAAUGAGAAAGUUUUGCGCCGCUGUCGAUACUGUCCCGCGGAGAAAUAACAAAAAGAGAGAGCGUAGCUUGGCCUGUCAUAUUGCUUUGACGUCGCCUCUCUGGCUAAUUCGAUUUACCUUUCGUCUCUUUGUGUGUCUGGCGCUUUUCUUUCCUCACGACAACUCUGGGAGUCACUUUCCUCGUCGCGUUUUUUUUUUUCUUUUUUUUCUUUUUUUUCUUUGAUCGCGACCGUAUUGCGGUUCAUUCUCAUACGGCGCAUGCACCCUCUCGUGUGAGUUCUAGGCAAACACUGAAAAUUUUUCAACGCCGCGCCGGCCCGUUACUUUUUUUUUUUUUUUUUCUUUAACAGGUUUCUAAACUUAGCUUGACGGCCGAUAUUCCUCGGUAUUUUCUUCGCUUUUGUUCAAAUCCCAGACUCAAGCGACGCGUACCUUGCGCGUAGUUUUGUUCUGUCGUCGCUGCGAGGCAUCUCGUAAGCGCCUGUCACGGUCCUUCCCUAGCGCAGGACCUUUCGUCGCCGCACCCGCUACGGUAGCUCAGCGGCUGAGCACGAGGUUGCGGGUUCGAUGCCGGCCGCGGCAGUCGCAUUCCGGUGGGGGCGGAAUGCAAUAAAACGCUCGUGCAUUGGCUGCACAUUAAGGUGGCCAAAAUGGGGAAACCGCGUUUUCCUUUUUUUUCCCCUAAUAAGUUUUCAUAACAAGUCAACAGGUUGCUUUUCCUUAGCGGCCGUUUUGUACGAGGGUUCACUUGCUAUUGAACACGAAAAUAAGGGACUUAGUUUACAGCAAGCACAGAGAGCGUUCCGAAGACAGCAACCAAACAGGUCCAUGUUGUCACAAUUAUGUAGAUAAGCGGCACUUUUUGUGCUGAAUUAUGCUAAUAAGCCCUAAAUAAUGGUAAUGUCACCUACAGAAUGCUAACUUGAGGCCGAAAGGGUGCGAGGCCCAAAGAUUACAUCGGUUGGGGCAAAAUUUAGAGCAUGCCAACAAAACUGUGGCACCAGAUGUGAUGUUAGAGCGUGAUCCCCUGGCUCUUAAGUGAAUUGUAGAUUGGCCUUGAAAAUUUUACUAACAUUGAUUUUUACUUCAGACGUACUGAGAAAAUUUUUAUUUCUCUCAACAAAACCGAAGCAGCGAGGUAUAAUGAAAUUUCCAGCGAGCGUUGAAAAUCUGGUCGUACAAACCAUCGCCAGCUCCUCAUGUUUAAGUUCCUCAAUGGCGAAACAGCGUUCCUCUUACAAAUUCGAGAGCGGCCUUUCGUUGUCUCGGGCUUUGGGCAGCGCGAAACUCCCAUGAAAUCUGUACUUCUAAAAGUAAAAAUUGACCUAACGUUACGCGUGUCUGCCUCCGGUUUCGCGGCCACCGAACGGGCUUCAUUUUUCUUCGUUUUGCGCUACCUGCGCCGGGUUGUCGCAGCAGCAAUACGAAACGUCUGCCGCAGCUGCACUUCUUUGAGCGUGACAUUGCCUCCUUCCCCGCUCUGGCAUCAUCCUACCUCCACCCAAUGUCCCCACCUUCUGUUUGUGUUCACUGCCAUUGGAAGCACGCAAUACUAACACACCUCGCGUGGGCUUGCGCAUCUUUGCCGGAAAACACGAGCAAGCGGGUAAGCGCGCUCGAGGCCAGAACGACCGUUUUAUCUUGCGACGCCUGCGACGCCUUUGUUCAGCGUAAAGUUUGCCAUCCUGCGCGUCAUUUCAGCUCUAUCAAGUAAACGAUUUUUUGCGUCUUCUUGAACUACCGGGGCGCGGAGAAACGUUGUACUUGUAGCUUUAAUUUGCAUGCUUUGAAGAACUAACGCCCCUUCCUGAGACGCCGGUUUCGCAAAAUGUGAUCCAGUCUCAGGCUUAAUCUGUUUGCAAGUAUUGCAACACUGUUGGAUAGCUGUUCUGUUUUGGAUCCGUCAGUCUCAUUUUCAGCGUAAUAAUGGCGUCGUGCUUUAAUUGGAGCUUUUUGGGCUUGUCUGACAAGUUCAUAGUAGACUCCUUGUUGAUUUCGAUUGUCUUUAGUUUUUAAUAUUAAACCUGGCUGCACUUAUUACUUGGCGGCCCGAGCUUGCGAAUCCGGCCUCGGUGCCAGCCUCACCCGCUGCUUUCUUUUGCGCACAGAACCGCACGCAGUGCUAACUUUUCCGCGAGGAAUGACCUGCGUACCUCACCAGCCCGGCGAAUUGGGUGGCCAGAAGGAGUACACUCACUGCCGAAGGGAUAGCGUGUUGGGUGCAGGGAGUGGAUUCGGGUCUGUUUUGCGGCGUGCGCGGAUGUGACACAAAUGUAAAUACACUCCUCUAAAUAACAGGGUAGCAUGUGCUGGGCAGGCGCGCUGUGAUUGGUGCGCCGAUGAUGUCGAUUGCCAUGUGGACGGUGUGCUAUUGAGACGACGUGAGUGUGUGCAUGUGUGCGCGCGGGUGUCGUUGUUCCAGGCGCUGCUUCUUUUCCUGUACAGGGCCGUUCGACCUCUGCUUUGCGUGGUCGUGCCACCUGAGUGUGUCGUAUGUGUGUGUGUGCGUCUGUUUUCCUUCGUUUUUGCGUGUGUUCAGGGUUCAAACGCACUCGUGUUUUAUUUUUAUUUUUUUCUUUGAUUCGUCCCUUCUACCCCCUAUCUCUCAUCUUCUGUGCGUGUACAGUGUUCAUGCGGCUGGGCACGUUACGUGCGCGAAUUUCACGCUACUCGAAACACACGUGUAAAUACGUAUCUCGGCGCCAUCUGACAUGGCAUCCCCGCCGUUUGUUUGUUGUGCUCCAAGUGGCUGACUGACUUGUGUAUGUGUGCGAGUGUACGGAUGUGAACGCUGUUCUGCAAGAUUUUUUCUUUUCUUUCGCGUGCGUGGUGCAGAGUUAUUUCCUCGAUGAGGUUUAUUUUCUGUCUUAUCACCGUACUCUGGCCCGAGGUGUAGUGUGUUCUUGAGGAGAAGACAGCGACGGCAAUAUAAGCUAAGUGACACAGACUCUGCGGACCGUCGUCUGCGUCUUUCUAAUGCAGACGACGGGGGUGUGCUUUGCAAGUGUGUGUGUGCGUGUAUGUGCGUGUGUGUGUCGCGACCGCGAGAGGACGAUGUUACAAGAGCGCGCGCCGGUGCAAGCACCGGGCACCAGAGCAGACAGUGUAGCGUUCUCCUUUUGUUUUUGUUUUUCUUUUAGGCGAAGUGUACGAGCAGCUAUUACGGGAGGUUGCUGUGACGAGAGCGUCUGAGUGCGCGCGUCUGGUUCUGUUGGCGUGUCGAGAGAGCGGUCAUUUUUAGGCGCUGUGGCGGAUGGACUCCCGCUCCCCUUGUCUAGCUUAUCGCAGGCGGACGGCGCGGGCUUCGCUGCCUCUGUCCAUUCUUACCUGGACGCUGGCGCCGUAUUGGGAGUGGGUGGUGGGCCCCUUGUUCGUUUCACGGGGCCACACGACCCCGUGCUCGAGCUGGUGGACGCUACGCCCGACUCCGGCUGCUUGCCUUGGACACGUGUGUAACACCCGUGCGAUACUGUGCGGAGGCUUCGAAACCUGCGCCGUUCGCCAAGUUGUAGCCUACAGCGGAGUGUGUGUAAUAAUAAUACGCGGGGCGGGUCGCCACGCGCGCUCUCAUUGUGCGUUUUUAUCUCCCGCCCUUCCCCCCACCCACCCUCCCUCUUCAUCCCUCACUCUUUUUCCCUGGUUGGCCCGACCCGAUUUACAGAAACAAAUAUCGCUUGUGUAUAUAUGUGGACGAUUGCGUUACUGGGAUUCGAAGAUGAAUAAAAGGUUUCAAGUGAAAAGCA
rnacentral:misc_RNA from 1 species